AGGACGAACGCUGGCGGCGUGCUUAACACAUGCAAGUCGAACGGAAAGGCCCUUCGGGGUACUCGAGUGGCGAACGGGUGAGUAACACGUGAGCAACCUGCCCUUAGCUCUGGGAUAGCUCCGGGAAACCGGAAUUAAUACCGGAUAUGACCUCGGUUGACAUCUUCUGAGGUGGAAAGUUUUUCGGCUAAGGAUGGGCUCGCGGCCUAUCAGCUAGUUGGUGGGGUAAUGGCCUACCAAGGCGACG
rnacentral:rRNA from 1 species